rnacentral:snoRNA from 1 species
AAGACUCUACUUUCAGGGAUCAUUUCUUUAGUCUGGAACUAGAGGAUUGUGUUUCUACAGAGGUUGGUCUGGCUGUCCAUGAUGAUGAUGAAGAUGUUUCCUUCAGAGCAGGAAGCUGGUGAGAAGAUGAGAAUCUUCUUCACUGAUGAAGACUGUUCAGUGUUUCUGGAUGUGACACUGAAGGAGGAAACAUUGUCUGAGUGGA